rnacentral:rRNA from 1 species
AUUGAACGCUGGCGGCAUGCCUUACACAUGCAAGUCGAACGGCAGCACGGGUGCUUGCACCUGGUGGCGAGUGGCGAACGGGUGAGUAAUACAUCGGAACAUGUCCUGUAGUGGGGGAUAGCCCGGCGAACGCCGGAUUAAUACCGCAUACGAUCUACGGAUGAAAGCGGGGGACCUUCGGGCCUCGCGCUAUAGGGUUGGCCGAUGGCUGAUUAGCUAGUUGGUGGGGUAAAGGCCUACCAAGGCGACGAUCAGUAGCUGGUCUGAGAGGACGACCAGCCACACUGGGACUGAGACACGGCCCAGACUCCUACGGGAGGCAGCAGUGGGGAAUUUUGGACAAUGGGCGAAAGCCUGAUCCAGCAAUGCCGCGUGUGUGAAGAAGGCCUUCGGGUUGUAAAGCACUUUUGUCCGGAAAGAAAUCCUUGGCCCUAAUACGGUCGGGGGAUGACGGUACCGGAAGAAUAAGCACCGGCUAACUACGUG